AUGUCUGGGAGUCUGAGAAGACCUUCCCAAGAAUCUGAUGUGUGCAGGAGAACGGAACCCCAAUCAGAUGGAGGCGGCUAUGCAAAAGGAACAACUUUGGCAGGGGAUCGUAGGAGCAAUCUUGAUCCAGCAGGCACACAGUUCGAUCCAGGCGGCUCUGCCAGAAAUCCUAACACUACGACACCGCAACUAGUGCACAAUACUGCAACAUCAGAAGCAUUGUCUUGUUUGGUGUGGAACUGUAGGGGGGUUGGGGGAUCCAGGACAGUCCGUGAUCUUGUAUCACUCAAUCAAGUGCAUCAUCCUCAGUUCAUAUUCUUGUGUGAAACGAGACAAAGAAAAGAGAGAGUCAGACGUUUAUGUAGCCGGCUAGGCCUGAGAGGCUAUGCCGGAGUUAGCAGUGAAGGCUUCAGCGGAGGGCUAGCACUCUUCUGGGAUGACAAGUUGCAUGUCGAAAUACAAGAUCUCAAUGAACGUUAUAUUGAUGUGCAUGUUGGCUUUGCUCCGGGUACUGUUUCAUGGAGAUUGACGUGUGUAUAUGGUGAGCCAAAGGUGGAAAAUAGACACCUCAUG
rnacentral:rRNA from 1 species